ensembl:snoRNA Snord59a small nucleolar RNA, C/D box 59A
CCUUCUAUGAUGAUUUUGCCAAAAUGACUUUCGUUCUUCUGAGAUUGCUGAAGCCACAAUUAGGUGCUGAGAGGG